rnacentral:rRNA from 1 species
UACAGAGGGUGCGAGCGUUGUCCGGAAUCACUGGGCGUAAAGGGCGCGUAGGUGGCGCUCCAAGUCUGUGGUGAAAGCUCGAUGCUCAACAUCGAGUCGGCCAUAGAGACUGGAGGGCUCGAGCACUGUAGGGGCAGAUGGAAUUCCGGGUGUAGCGGUGGAAUGCGUAGAGAUCCGGAAGAACACCGGUGGCGAAGGCGGUCUGCUGGGCAGUUGCUGACACUGAGGCGCGACAGCGUGGGGAGCAAACAGG